UCCAACAACGCACUUAGCGACCGUUCUCUCUGUGUGGUGUUUUGGGAAACGCAUGUUACAUCUUCGGCCGUUGUAGGGCAUUGGAGAAUGCAACCAACCAGGAAAAACAAGCAUGGCCAGGCUUCUCAGAGCCCCAAACCUACCAUAUCUGGUGAGGUAUCCGUCUCCUGGACAGACAGGUGUGUCUUGGUCAUAUGGAUUUCAGCAACCUCCUCUCACCUUUUCUGUAACAAAAUAAAGCACAUAAACAAAUUCUUGUUUACUAUGUGUUACAUAUGUAUUUAGAACACCAUGCAUUGUAUCUGGGAGCCUUUAGAUCGAGG
rnacentral:lncRNA from 1 species